rnacentral:rRNA from 1 species
AAGAUGAACGCUGGCGGCGUGCCUAACACAUGCAAGUCGAACGGGGUAUAUAAGCGGAAGUUUACGGAUGGAAGGUUAUAUACUUAGUGGCGGACGGGUGAGUAACGCGUGGGCAACCUGCCCCGUGCCGGGGGAUACCGCCUGGAAACAGGCGCUAAUACCGCAUAAGCGCAUACAGCCGCAUGGGUGUAUGCGGAAAGCUCCGGCGGCACGGGAUGGGCCCGCGCCCGAUUAGCCAGUUGGCGGGGUAACGGCCCACCAAAGCGACGAUCGGUAGCCGGCCUGAGAGGGCGGACGGCCACAUUGGGACUGAGACACGGCCCAAACUCCUACGGGAGGCAGCAGUGGGGAAUAUUGCACAAUGGGGGAAACCCUGGAUGCAGCAACGCCGCGUGGGUGAAGGAGCGUUUCCGGCGCGUAAAGCCCUGUCNGCGGGGAAGAAGAAAGACGGUACCCCGACCAUAAUCCCCCGGCUAACUACGUGCCANCAGCCCCGGUAAUACGUAGGGAGGAGACGUUAUCCGGAAUUACUGGGUGUNAAGGGAGCUUAAACCGCNAGGUUAACCUGAAGUGGAAGCCCGCGGCCCAACCGCGAAACUGCUUUGGGGACNUGAUUUGCUGAANUUAG